rnacentral:rRNA from 1 species
AUUGAACGCUGGCGGCAUGCCUUACACAUGCAAGUCGAACGGCAGCACGGGGGCAACCCUGGUGGCGAGUGGCGAACGGGUGAGUAACGCAUCGGAAUGUACCCAGUAGUGGGGGAUAACUAGUCGAAAGAUUAGCUAAUACCGCAUACGCACUGAGGUGGAAAGCGGGGGAUCGCAAGACCUCGCGCUAUUGGAGCAGCCGAUGUCCGAUUAGGUAGUUGGUGGGGUAAAGGCCUACCAAGCCUGCGAUCGGUAACUGGUCUGAGAGGACGACCAGUCACACUGGGACUGAGACACGGCCCAGACUCCUACGGGAGGCAGCAGUGGGGAAUUUUGGACAAUGGGCGCAAGCCUGAUCCAGCAAUGCCGCGUGUGUGAAGAAGGCCUCGGGUUGUAAAGCACUUUUGGCGGGAGCGAACGGCGUUUGCUAUAACCGAACGCUAAUGACGUACCCGGCAGAAUAAGCACCGGCUAACUAACGUGCCAGCAGCCGC